AGGUGCCCCAAAUGUCUACGUUCACCCAUGACGUCACGUCCGCUAUAACCCAUGAUGUCACAUCCGCUUAUUUCCAUGGCGUCUGUCUUACGGAGCCGGCUGCGCUGCGAAGCGGUUCGUAUUCCGUGCCCACUUAGAGCACUGAACAUCCCACGUCUUGGUUUGACUUUCUGGUACAGGAUACUUGCACUUAGCAUGGAGUGAUGAAGCAGAGCAGUGUACUUUUAUUAAAUGUGCAGAUUUUAGCAGUAUAAGAGCCAUUCAUUAAAAAAACAUGUGUGCUGAAAAUAAAGUGUGCUUACCCACA
rnacentral:lncRNA from 1 species